UAAUAAUAUUAUUUAAAUUAAUAAUAUUAUUUAAAUUAAUAAUAUUAUUAAUAUUUAAAUUAAUAAUAUUUAAAUUUAAAUAUUAUUAAUUUAAAAUAAUCAGAUAAAUCUAAUUUUAAAUUUUUAGACCUCUACAAGCCCCCAACCAGCCUCCCCCCGACCCCGCCCCACCAUCAAAGCUCCCUAACUCCUCCCCCAAGCCCCCACG
rnacentral:lncRNA from 1 species